rnacentral:rRNA from 1 species
CUACGGGCUGCACCAGUGGGGAAUAUUGCACAAUGGGCGCAAGCCUGAUGCAGCCAUGCCGCGUGUGUGAAGAAGGCCUUAGGGUUGUAAAGCACUUUCAGUAAGGAGGAAAGGCUAGUAGUUAAUACCUGCUAGCUGUGACGUUACUUACAGAAGAAGCACCGGCUAACUCCGUGCCAGCAGCCGCGGUAAUACGGAGGGUGCGAGCGUUAAUCGGAAUUACUGGGCGUAAAGCGUACGCAGGCGGUUUGUUAAGCGAGAUGUGAAAGCCCCGGGCUCAACCUGGGAACUGCAUUUCGAACUGGCAAACUAGAGUAUGAUAGAGGGUGGUAGAAUUUCAGGUGUAGCGGUGAAAUGCGUAGAGAUCUGAAGGAAUACCGAUGGCGAAGGCAACCACCUGGGUCAAUACUGACGCUCAUGUACGAAAGCGUGGGGAGCAAACGGGAUUAGAUACCCCAGUAGUC